UGCCUAAACUCUAAAGCAAUUUAAGGCAUGGUGUGCACAAAACGGAUUAAGUGUAAUGGUGGUCAGACACCUUGCUUACUUAAUCCGUCAUAGCCGAAAGGCUAUGGGCAAGUCCGAAAGGACAAGCC
rnacentral:sRNA from 1 species